rnacentral:tRNA from 1 species
CUGUAGCUCAGCUGGACAGAGCGUCAGCCUCCGAAGCUGUAUGUCGUCGGUUCAAAUCCGAUCAGG